CACAGAUGCCAGCUGCCCUCAUAACGAGGACAAACUGGAUAUAUACUGGGUUUCAGAUCAGACUUAGCAUCACAAUGUUUCAUAAAAUCUGUCACAAUUUCAGGCAUCAAACAACACCAUUUGCUGCUCUAGAACCAUGCUACAACCAACAUGAAAAUA